AACAACUCUAGUUGUCUAAUGUUUGAUUUGUAAAACUGUUUCAAAUACAGGACAAACUGGAGGCAAGGGACAGGACAA
rnacentral:pre_miRNA from 1 species